rnacentral:lncRNA from 1 species
GAGAAACAAAGUGAGGGGGUUGCCAUCACCAUAGAUGAUGAAGUGGUGAUUGUUGAUGAGAAGAUCAAUGACGAGAUCUUGGAAAAGAUAGUGGAAGCAAAAGGAAAAGGAAAGGUUGGAGAAGAGAAGAAAACAGUUAAAGAUGGUGAAGUUGUCACUCCUGCAAGUGAAAACUCUUUUGUUCCUCCUGCCUAUGAACCCAAGCUUCCAUUCCCAGGUCGAUUCAAGAGGCAGCUGCUAGAGAAGUACAAAGCUUUGUUUGACAAGCAAAUGAGUGAAGUCCAGGUCACAAUGCCCAUUAUUGACGCUUUCAUGCUGAUCCCUCAGUACAGCAAGUUCCUCAAAGAUGCUGUAGCUGCAAAGAAGAAAGAGAUGGAGGGCAUGGUGAUUCUCACUCAUGAGUGCAGUGCUAUCAUUCAGAGACUGGUCAUUCCAAAGAAGCUAGAAGAUCCAGGAUGCUUCACAUUACCUUGUGCUCUUGGACCUAUGGUAUUUGAUAGAUGUCUCUGCGAUUUGGGAGCUAGUGUCAGCUUGAUGCCCCUAUCUGUUGCUAAGAAGCUGGGUUUCACUCAGUACAAGAAGUGUAGACUUUCUCUGGUAUUGGCUGAUCGUUCAGUGAAGUACCCUGUGGGUAUCUUAGAGGACCUCCCAGUGAUGGUUGGAAAUUAUGAGAUCCCUACAGACUUUGUGGUGCUUGAAAUGGGUGAAGAAGCUCAAGAUCCUUUAAUCCUUGGAAGACCUUUCUUAGCCACAGCAGGAGCUAUUGUUAAUGUUAAAGAAGGCAAGAUUGAUCUCCAUCUGGGUAAAGGGCACGUUCUGCAUUUCGACAUCAAGGAAGUAAUGAGGAGGCCAACAGUUCAAGGACAAGUGUUCUACAUCGAAGAGAUGGAUGCCCUUGCUGAUGAACUCCUUGAAGAGUUGUCACUAGAGGACCCUCUACAGCAUGCUUUAACUGUAGAGAAGGAGACUGAGGUGAUUGAGAACCUGGAGAGUACUGCCUAUGGGAUGAUGCUGGAUUCACACCAGGCGUUUUUCAGUAAGGACCAGUACGAGGAGCUUCCACAGAUGGUUCACCAACAAGUCUCAGUCACUCAACAAGAGGACAACCAGCAGGAUGACUGGAGUGAACUUAAGGCACCUAAAGUGGAGCUUAAACCUCUUCCCCAUGGUGUAAGGUAUGCAUUCCUUGGUCCUAAUGAAACUUACCCUGUCAUUGUGAGUAGUGAACUUACUGAAAAUGAGCUAUCUGAACUUUUGAAAACACUUAAAAGAUUUAGAAAGGCAAUAGGUUACUCACUAGAUGACAUCAAGGGGAUAUCACCCUCUUUGUGCAUGCAUAGGAUACAUCUUGAGGAUGAAUCAAUGACUUCUAUCGAGCAUCAAAGAAGGUUAAAUCCUAACCUGAAGGAUGUUGUAAAGAAAGAGAUUCUUAAACUCCUAGAUGCUGGUGUUAUUUACCCUAUCUCAGAUUCUAAAUGGGUAUCACCUGUGCAUGUUGUACCAAAGAAAGGUGGUAUCACUGUGAUCAAGAAUGACAAGGAUGAAUUGAUACCAACAAGAACCAUCACAGGUCAUAGAAUGUGCAUUGAUUACCGAAAACUAAACUCUGCAUCUAGAAAGGAUCAUUUUCCACUACCAUUUAUUGAUCAGAUGCUUGAGAGACUUGCAAAUCACCCAUUCUAUUGUUUCCUUGAUGGGUACUCAGGAUUUUUCCAAAUCCCCAUACAUCCCAAUGAUCAAGAGAAAACGACAUUCACAUGUCCCUAUGGUACCUUUGCAUAUCGAAGAAUGCCAUUUGGACUAUGUAAUGCUCCAGCCACCUUUCAAAGGUGCAUGAUGUCAAUUUUCUCUGAUCUGAUUGAGGAUGUUGUGGAGGUAUUCAUGGAUGAUUUCUCUGUCUACGGAUCUUCGUUUUCUGCUUGUUUGUCAAAUUUGUGCAGGGUCCUACAGAGAUGUGAAGACACCAACCUUGUGCUGAAUUGGGAGAAGUGUCACUUCAUGGUCAAGGAAGGGAUUGUGCUAGGACACAAGAUUUCAGAGAAGGGGAUUGAGGUGGAUAAAGCCAAAAUCGAUGUUAUGGUUGGUCUGCCUCCACCAAAGACAGUGAAAGACAUCCGGAGUUUUCUUGGUCAUGCUGGAUUCUACAGGAGGUUCAUCAAGGAUUUCUCCAUGAUCACUAGACCUUUGACCAGACUGCUGUGCAAGGAAGCUACCUUCAGUUUUGAUGUAGAAUGUCUACAAGCUUUCAAGAAGCUGAAAGGUGAACUCGUUAGUGCCCCAAUUGUCCAGCCACCUGAUUGGGAUCUCCCUUUUGAGAUCAUGUGUGACGCCAGUGACUAUGCUGUGGGAGCUGUUCUGGGGCAGAAGAAAGAUGGCAAAACCCAUGUGAUCUAUUAUGCCAGCCAAACCCUCAAUGAUGCCCAGAUGAAGUAUGCCACAACAGAGAAGGAGAUGCUGGCAAUUGUUUUUGCCUUUGAGAAGUUCAGGAGCUACUUGGUUGGGUCUAAAGUCAUUGUCUACACAGAUCAUGCCGCCUUGAGACACCUUUUGGCCAAGAAGGAUGCAAAACCCAGGCUUUUGAGGUGGAUCCUUUUGCUCCAAGAGUUUGAUAUGGAGAUCAAGGACAAACCUGGAGUUGAGAAUGGAGUAGCUGAUCAUUUGUCCAGGUUGAGGGUAGAGUCUGGUAUCCCUAUUGACGAAGGACUUCCUGAGGAGCAGAUCAUGGCUAUCGAAGCAGUGAUAGCAGUUUGUGAGACUGGUAGGAAGCUGGAAGAAGUCAAAGCAACAGAGGAGAAGGAACCUUGGUAUGCUGAUUUGGUGAACUACCUAGCCACAGGAAGAGAACCUUUGAAUCUUGUAGGGUAUGCCAAGAAGAAGUUCUACAAGGAUGUGAAAAGAUAUUACUGGGACGAACCCUACCUCUACAUUCUCUGCAAAGAUCAGCUUUAUAGGAGAGUGGUUGCAAAUGAGGAGAUUGAUGGGAUCCUUGCACAGUGUCAUGGAUCAUCCUAUGGAGGUCACUUUGCCACCUUCAAGACAGUUGCAAAAGUAUUACAAGCUGGAUUCUGGUGGCCACACAUGUUCAAGGAUACACAAGACUUUGUUUCGAAGUGUGAUUCUUGCCAAAGAAGAGGAAACAUCACCAAGAGGAAUGAGAUGCCUCAAAAUCCAAUCCUUGAAGUUGAAGUGUUUGAUGUCUGGGGUAUUGACUUCAUGGGACCAUUUCCAUCAUCUUUUGGCAACAAAUAUAUCCUUGUGGCUGUUGAUUAUGUCUCCAAAUGGGUGGAAGCCAUUGCAAGCCCCACCAAUGAUGCUAGAGUUGUAAUCAAGAUGUUCAAGAGCAUCAUCUUCCCAAGGUUUGGAGUUCCAAGAGUUGUAAUCAGUGAUGGAGGUUCCCACUUCAUUAACAAACUGCUUGAGGGACUUCUCAAGAAGAACGGUGUGAAGCACAAGGUGGCAACUCCUUAUCAUCCCCAAACAAGUGGCCAAGUUGAGAUUUCUAACAGGGAGAUCAAAUCUAUCCUGGAGAAGAUUGUGGGGAUUACAAGGAAGGAUUGGUCUAAUAAGCUUGACGAUGCACUUUGGGCUUAUAGGACAGCGUACAAGACACCACUGGGUACCACACCUUUCAACCUAGUGUAUGGGAAAGCUUGCCAUUUGCCAGUGGAGCUUGAGUACAAGGCACUAUGGGCAAUAAAGUUGCUGAACUUUGACAUCAAGAGUGCCAAGGAGAAAAGGCUCUUUCAGCUACAUGAGCUUGAUGAGAUAAGAUUGGAUGCUUUCGAGAACUCAAGAAUCUACAAGGAGAAGACUAAGGCUUUCCAUGACAAGAACAUCCUGAAGAGAGAGUUUAAAGAAGGAGACCAAGUUCUUCUCUACAACUCUAGGCUGAAGUUGUUUCCAGGAAAGCUUAAGUCAAGGUGGUCCGGUCCUUUCAAGGUCAAGGAGGUUAGACCAUAUGGAGCAAUAGUUUUGUGGAGCACUGAUGGAAGAGACUUCACAGUCAAUGGACAAAGGGUUAAGCUCUACAUGGCUACUGCACCAGAGGAAGAUGGGGUUUCAACUCCACUGUCUGAUCCUACCCCGGCCUAAUCUAAAAGGAGGCAAAGUCAAGCUCGGGACUUAAAACAAGCUCACUUGGGAGGAAGUCCCAUGCGUAUCCUUGUACAUAUUGCAUUGGUAUUUCCAUUUUUCAUCUUAUUGCAUAAAAAAAAAAAAGAGAGAGAAGUUGUGUGCAGGUGCUUGAUCGGUUCAUUUUGAGCAGGAGUCGUGCGUGGGAGCGAGGUCUCACAGCGACACCUCAAGGUCGCUCCAGCUGGGAGCGAGGUUUCGAGAGCGACACUCCAUGGUCGCUCGCGUUUUCGUCGUCGGAUCAAGAAAAAAUCGCCUCAGAGCGAGGUCUCGGAGCGAGGCCGAAGGGUCGCUCCAGCUGGGAGCGACAUUAUGGGAGCGACACCUCGGAGUCGCUCGCGUUUUCGACGAAACGGAGCUCAAAAACUGACCCGGAGCGACGUCCUAGAGCGACACCUUGAAGUCGCUCCAGCCCAGAGCGAGGUUUCUAGAGCGACACUUCAAGGUCGCUCGCGGUUUUGUCGAAACACGACGCGAGGAAACGACUCGGGAGCGACCUCUCCCAGCGACACCCUCACGUCGCUCCCGAACCGGUCCAGGUAAGUUUCCUAACUCUAAACCCCGGUUUAAUUCAAGUAAACCGACCCUAACCACCCUAAACCGAACCGGACGACCCUAAACCUACCCCAACCCCCGCGACUCCUAUCUCUCUCACUCUCCCCUCCUCUCACAAACUCACAAACUCUCUCAAACUCACCCACACCAAAAAUCCCAAAACCUUCUCAAUUCUCACCCAAAUCAACUAGUUCUUGUUUCUAAACCAAGCUUUCGCCCCUGUAGCCUAUUCCUCACCACCCAUUCACCAUUUCCUUUCAUCCAGAGCAAGGUAUUGAGUUUUUAAAUUCAAAUUCGUAGGUCCAUGAACCCUAGAAUUUGAAAGUCGAAAUUUGGUCACUUUCUUGCUAGAUUGUGGUGAAAUAGACUAGGGAAAGUUUAUCUAUCAAGUUGGGUUGUUGAAUUAAUGGUGAAAUUGAGUUUAAUUUGCACUUUGGCAAAAUUAGGGUUCAUGGAAUUAGGGAUUUUCGAAUUUGACCUUAAUUGGGUGAGUUUGUGGGUGAACUAGAUGUGUUAAGGUGUUACAAGAGUGAGAAUUGUUGCAUUGUGUUGAACUUGAGUUUAAAUUGAUAAUUCAUUUGUUAAGUUCACUUUUGCAAUUUUCUCUUGCAAAAUCCUGUUUUUCUUUACUUCCAACUACUUAUCCCUUUUCAAGUUUUUACUUCUUCAGGUGAAAAUGGUUAAGAAGACAAAGGGAAAGUUGGAAGCUGAGAAGCAAGAAGCUGAAAGAACAGAGUUUGCAUUAAGAGGAAAAGCUUUAUCCUGCGAGCCAACUGGGUCAGGGACGCAGAGAACCGUUCGACAGCAGACUUUGGCUGCAAGGAAAUCGCAAGAACAAGAGAAGAGGGCUGGGAAAAGUGUAGCAGUUCCCACUCAUGAGGAGAGUGAAACUGAGAGUGCUGAUGAGCAGGCACCUACGAAGAAAGCCAAGAUGUCCAAAGGAAAAGGGGUUGCUGUUGAUCGAGACAGGGCAAAAACUCCAUCUGUGGAGGAGCUGUAUGAUCACUUGAAGAAUGGGUCACUUGGGCUCCAACCAGGUUCGCCGACCUCGAUUUGCUGAAGGAGUUGGGCCUAGAAUCCGAUAUUGAGGCGAUGCUGGGACAUUUGAAGAUGCCAAAACUCCUCACCAUGGCUUAUCCUUUCUACAAGGAUGUCACUUGUCAGUUCCUAUCCUCUCUUGUGGUCACUUACCACGACACGGCGCAUGUGAGGCAAGGAUGGGGAAAAAUCACGUUCAAGGUCAAUGGAAGGGAAUACAACAUGAACUUCAAGGACAUUGGGAGGGUCAUGGGGUUCCAAGACCUAGAAGACCACUCACUUCCCAAGUGUGAGAACCUCCCCACAGAGCUUUGGAAGUUGAUCACUGGAAACAGGCACUCUACCGGGGCUGACAAGAACUCACACAUCCGACACCCGUCUGUACGCUACCUCCACAGAUUGCUAGUCCAUGCUUUCUACCCACGGAAGCAAGCUGGUAAUGUUACUGAGGAAGACAUGCGACUGCUCUGUCCGGCUAUCCGUCCUUACGCUCAACCUGGAGUGUUACCCCUUCCCAGCACUGAUAUCUAUGCUACCUUUGGGAUGGUCAGUUUCUUUGUGGGCCGUCUCGAACACUACAGAGACUGGGCGUGGUACACCACUGAUUCGCGCCCAAAGAUGGGGAUAGGCGGAAUGAUCACACCACUGCUCCAAUUUCUGAAUGUUCCCUUGGGAAAGGACGCAGCGGGGCCUAGGUUCAUUGAUGGCACCUACUUGAGGAUUGCCACCUAUUUCAGUGGGAUGUAUGGGAAGGACUACGUCUACCACUACUACUUGCAGGGCAAGCCAGUCGAGGUGGUUCUUCCAAACCGGAACCUGACGAGUUUAGAGAUACCAGGAGCUGUCAGCUUCAACAUUCCCCAGGAGUACUUUCUCGGAGAACACGGGCCUCUCGAUCCAAUUCAAGCAGCUUCAUCAAGGAGAAGGAGUGUCCCUACGCAACCUGACCCGCCUGUUGCAGACACGUCUGAGCAUAUCUAUGGACCUCCGCGCUACUACUUCAAGCCCCAUGACGGAGUCCUUCCCCCUGGAGCUCUCCGUGAUGCUCAUGACCACAUUGGUCGUCUCCAGAGGUGGAACAAAGCUCAGGACAGAACGAUAGAAAAGCUGAAGGAUAAGUGCAAGGCGCUCAGCAAGACUGUGAAGAAGCAGGCAAAGACUUCAGCCAAGUUCAUGAAGAAAGUAGCUGAUGUCUUAACUAGGGGAGGAAUAGCUGGAUGUAGCUCAGCCGAUUUCGCUUUCGCGAACACCUCAAACCCCCAGCCCCCACCCCCGCCUGAUGCUCUUGGCUUCCCCCUCACUGCUGCGCAGCUUCAGCGUAAGUGGAGGAACCCACCCACUCAACCUUCCACUUCCGGCAACAAAUCCCCAUCCCUCGCUUCUUCUGACAGUGAGCACGAGAUUGACGAGGUUGAGAGCCAGCCAUGGUAUGGAGGCUCCGGUUCAGCAUCCGGUGGUUACUACACCACCUUCCCUCCUGACGACGACGAUGCUGGGGCAUCUGCCCCCACCUAUUAUCCAUAGGAGGUACUUCUUUCUCUCCCUUGUAUAUACCAUCUCAUUUUUUUUUUUUUGCAUAUUAGUUUUCUUCUCGGUAUCUCCUUCUUUCUUUGACAACACAGAGACUGUGUAACUCAAGUUUGGGGGAGGUACCAAGCAUUUGAUCACGUUUGCUUUGAUUGUGUUUCAUUUGAGUCAUGCAUUGCACACCUAUUUGCAUAAAAAAAAAAAAAAAAAAGAUUUUUCAUUUAGUUUGCAUCAUUUGCACCAUUAGGAGAGUCUAGAGCAUAUAGGGUGCAUUCACUUGCAUUGGGAGCAAUGAUUUUAAAUGCCUUGUAAAGAACACUACGUUGCACCAUUGAGUAGCCAUGCACCUCUCGAAAAGACUUGUAUGUUUCGAGCCUUGAAAACUCUUCUUGAAACUUGUUGAUUGCUGAAACUCAGUCUUUGAAGCCAACUACAACCUUAUUAGAAAUGAAUGAACUUAAUGCUUCUUGCUUAGGGUCCCUUGUGUACUGAGUCAUGGCUAUACACACUGGAGUUGUCACAUCUUUUAUGCCAAUCUUUUUGACAAACUCUAGUGGUAGACCACUCCCAAAACCUUUCCUUCCUUUUAAGCUUUCAUUGUUUGAUGAGUGAGGCCUUCUUCGGAAAGUCUUACAUGCGCAUAAUGUUGAGAGUAUCGGGAACGACAAUGCUUGAUCUUCAUUUUUGCUAGAUUGGACACUCUUUUGUCUAGCUAUAGGUGGGAGGGUGAGUGUUGUGAUCAUGAUUUGGGAGAAAUGAAAAAUAAAAAGGAUAGACUCUUUGUGCUUAAGUGAAUUGAUUUUCUGGGAUAAGUAGAGAACCUCUAGCUCUAGUUUCGAAAAGUCUUGGCCCCCAACCUAAAAAAAAAAAAAAAAAAAAAAAAAAAAAAAAAAAAAAAAAAAAAAAAAAAAAAAAAAAAAAAAAAAAAAAAAAAGGGGGCUAGCAAAGUUGUUAGGAGCUAAGAAAUGUUUUGAGGUUGUAGAAAAAUCCCUUGUAGAUUUCAAAAAGAAAGAGUUAAAGUUCUUAGGAUCUAUUGGUGAGAGAUGUGAGUUGGGUUUGACAUUUGGGAAUGAUUGUGUAAUUGUAUGUUUGGGAAAAGGGUAGAACAAUGGAGAUUGAGCAUUGUAUGCAUGAGUUGGUCCCUUUCUUAGAUAUAUUAUGUGCAAUGUCAAGGCUACUUGUUUUGAGAGUAAACCACCUUAAAGAUCAUAUGUUUUGAACCUCUUGAAUCACUUGAAUAAAAGCCUUCCCUUACCCAACCAAAUGACUUGGACCAACGGACCAUUUGCAAGAAUUCAC